rfam:Cordyceps confragosa RCEF 1005 scaffold_5, whole genome shotgun sequence.
CACCUCUCCCGUCCUGACACAACAUCCUGCCGAGAUGUUGUCUGACCUGCAGUGUCACACGUCGGCGGAGGUG